CUCUGCUUCCUGUGCCUGGCUGAAGAUCUGAGCUCUCAGCUUUCGGCUCCAGCUGCCUCCCACCACGCCUCCCCAACCCUGCCAGACUCAGCGCUCUGGAACCACAAACCAGAUAAAUUCUUCCUUCUGAUGAAAUUGUACUUGCUGAAUUGAAUCAGAUGGAAACAAGUCUAAAAUUCCAGGGCAGGGUCCUCCCUUCCUAGUUCGUCUGCCCGGCAUAUGCACUAGAUGUCAGUGGGGCCUGAAUCAUUAAAACAAUCACUUCCUCUUC